GUUAUCACGGGAGACACACGGCGGGUGCUAACGUCCGUCGUGAAGAGGGAAACAACCCAGACCGCCAGCUAAGGUCCCAAAGUCAUGGUUAAGUGGGAAACGAUGUGGGAAGGCACAGACAGCCAGGAUGUUGGCUUAGAAGCAGCCAUCAUUUAAAGAAAGCGUAAUAGCUCACUGGUCGAGUCGGCCUGCGCGGAAGAUGUAACGGGGCUAAACCAUGCACCGAAGCUGCGGCAGCGACACUAUGUGUUGUUGGGUAGGGGAGCGUUCUGUAAGCCUGCGAAGGUGACCUGUGAGG
rnacentral:rRNA from 1 species